rnacentral:rRNA from 1 species
AGAGUUUGAUCCUGGCUUAGGAUGAACGCUAGCGGCAGGCUUAACACAUGCAAGUCGAGGGGCAGCGCGGAGUAGCAAUACUCUGGCGGCGACCGGCGGAAGGGUGCGUAACGCGUGAGCAACUUGCCCGCAGUCAGGGGGAUAAUCGUUGGAAACGACGUCUAAUACCCCGUAACAACGGUGACCGCAUGAUCACCGUUUGAAAGCUCCGGCGGAUGCGGAUGGGCUCGCGUGACAUUAGCUAGUCGGCGGGUAACGGCCCACCGAGGCGACGAUGUCUAGGGGUUCUGAGAGGAAGGUCCCCCACACUGGAACUGAGACACGGUCCAGACUCCUACGGGAGGCAGCAGUGAGGAAUAUUGGUCAAUGGCCGGAAGGCUGAACCAGCCAUGGCCGCGUGCAAGGAUGACGGCCCUAUGGGUUGUAAACUGCUUUUGUGGCGGAGCAAUAAGGAUUACGUGUAAUCCGAUGAGAGUACGUCACGAAUAAGCAUCGGCUAACUCCGUGCCAGCCGCCGC